GCCAAGUUGGUUUAACACAAAGUUAAGUGAGCCUUUUCAUUCAUCAUUUAUGGUGCCGGUUAAUCAGCAAAUUCGUGGCUUAAGUUUUUGCUUCGUGUAUACAUGUUCAGAGAGUAAGGAAACUGUAUCUGAGGGAUUUUUACCAUGCAUUUCAAUCUCUAACUUGUCGCAAACAAUGAAUUGGAAGCAAGAUCCUUUGUUCAUAGGUAUUCCUGAAGGUGAUCAAGAGCGGAUGAUGUGGUUAAGUUAUUGGGAGAUCGGA
rnacentral:misc_RNA from 1 species